AGCAUUAUUACCGCCAUUCCUCAUUUGGCGGGCUAGCUCACGACUGCAGCACCCAACCCGCCCUAGAGGCGGGUUUU
rnacentral:sRNA from 17 species